rnacentral:piRNA from 1 species
AUGAAGAAUGACUUGGAGUACCAGAC